GUAGGGUGGUUUUACAGGUGCCACAUCCUCCCAUCCUCGGAGGAUUUGACCUUGACCGGGUCAUAUGGCCAAAGGUCAGAUGAUGCAAUGUGCAAAGGUCAGAUGAUGCAAUAGCCUGGAAUGUGUAGCCUUAGGCUAUAAUCCUCCUUUACCUAUGUAGGAGGAUUAUAGCCUAAGGGGAGGACCACCCCAGAACGGCAUAGUCAAAAUGCGCCAUAGGUCAAAUCCUCUUGAUGGAAUUUGAUAAAUCGCGGUCAGAAAGGGAGGAGUUAAUUGAUAUCAACCUAUACACAGUACCUAUAUUUAGAAAAUGUCGCACAAGUCACGACAAGUCUAUGACCUCAGCGGUGAUGUGUAUAUAUGCCCGACAGACAUUCAAAGUCAUUAAAUGGCUCAGGAGAUCAUCAAUCGGAUAGUCACGGAGGACCUCACGCUAACAAGUAUAUCACACAGUAAGGUAGACUGUCGUCUAGGGAUUACACAAGAAGUCAUCUUUAAAAGAGUUAAAGGUGAGCUGAAGAUCUGUUUAAGAGAAGAUGGAAAGAGAAUACAGAUAACUGGAGACUAUUUUAGGAAGAUACUGUUUCUGUCGGAAAGUUUACAGAGCAUAUGUGAUUUUAUGCAUUGACAUGUCAGAUAUUGUAACAGAUUGUAUCCGUCAUUAUCACAUACGACCAAUACAUCACUCUAUGAUUAAAUGUGAGGAUCGACUACAAACUUUUGUAAACUGGCCACAACAAAUAAUCCAAACUCCGAAUCAGCUCGCUCGAAACGGAUUUUUCUAUUCAGGACAAAGUGAUAAAGUCACCUGUUUUAUGUGCGGUGUACAAUUAGGAUCCUGGACAUUUAACGAUUCUAUCACAACCGAACAUAGAAGAUGGUCGAAUGAUUGUGUAUACCUACAAAUGGCAUUAUCAUAACAUGGGAGGUAUUGAUUUUUAUUUUGGUUCACUCAUGCGACAUUGACUCACUAAUAGAUGAAGGUUGGUCUUACAUCAAUGGUGAAGAAAUAAAAAUUGAACAUAUUGCCGAGCUCUUUAACAUAUUGGAUAGACUAUGGAAAGAAGACAACUAUAUCGACGGUGAUUAUAUAAGACUGUUAUUUAUAUUCAACGAACACAUAGGUGCAGAAAUAUGUUCAUAAUGGAUACAUCCAAGAAGAGACUUUAUUCCUAUAUGAGAAAUCAAAUCGAGGAAAAAGCCUAUAAAAGGAUUGUGAAAAACUUACUUUGUCUAGCUUACGCAAUACAUGUUAAAACAAUCAUAUCGAGAUUGUUUGUAUGUACAGGAUGUGCGGAAGAGCAAGCUAACCAGGAAGGACAUGAUUGUGUUAUGCUUGAUAGUGAAGACAUAGUCGGUCUGUAUUUCGACGAAGCCUUAUCAACCAUCAACCAGGUAGAAGUGGAGAAACUGUGGCACGAAUUUACUAUUCAGACUUGUAUACCACCACACGUGUUGCAACAUUUGAUGGAAGAUAAACGUUUCUGCUCACAUGAUUAUGUGAAACAACAUUUCAGCGGAAGAAUUUUGAAGUUGACGAAAAAAAUAGACAUUGUCAAUUUAAAAUUGACUGUGGAACAAUUCGAAAUAUUGUUUGAUUAACUAUGGGGGAUUCAAAGGUUGAUAAAAUGGACUCUUUGUUUCAUUUUGUGCAUGCUUUCCAUUUACACCAACAAUCAUUUGAUAUAGUAAAACAUUCUAUAGAAGAUGUAGUAAAACAUUUCAUAGAAGAAGUAAAUUGUUGGAAUGUUCCCGACGAAAUCAGAAAAAAUUAUAUUUCAAAUGUGUCAAGCUCCGAAUGGAGAAAUAUGGAGCUGAAAAAACUUUGUCGAAGAAAACAGAUCGAUCAAAUGAUUCAAUCAAUGCAACGUUUAGAGAAUCGCUUCAUAAAUCCAUGAAAUCUGUAUCCAUUUAUGUAGAGACACCAUUAUCGUCAAGUAUAGUAUAUAUAUAUUAAAAUUAUUAACCAUC